CGCACCUUGCACUCUUUGGUAUUCCGAAGAGUACGCCUGUUCGAGCGUCAUGAAAUUCUCAAACCCUCUAUUUUGGGGAUUUGGAUUUGGACCUUUGCAACUGAAACAUUUGUUGCUGGUCUUAAAUAUAUUAGUCUAAUGGGAGUAUCGAGACUACUCGGCGUGAUAACUUUCAUCGUUGAGGAAAUUGACACUGCUAGGGCUUUCUAACUGUCGGUUCAUGACAUACGAGUUCAAUAUCUGACCUCGAAUCAGGUGGGACUACCCGCUGAACUUAA
rnacentral:misc_RNA from 1 species